rnacentral:lncRNA from 1 species
GAGAAUGAUUUGUCCAGCUGCAUAGUCCCUCGUCAGCAUGCCGUUGCGAUAAAAUCUGUCUUUGUCCAACCAUGACCGAAAAUAGUUCAUAGAAAAUGUUAAAAUGAUUUCUCGUGAAAUAUGAAAAAAAAAUUUAAGAAAAAAAAUAAAAAUUUCUCAGAACUUUCUUUAAAAAAACCUUCACUCGUAACUCGUAAGAGCAUAUAGAUGUAUGAUAGAGAAAUGCAUGAAAUUGAGAGCUUGUGUGAUUAUCAUAACAAACGUUCGACUCUUUAUAUAGGCACAACAAUAUCUGUUUCUUACAUAUUUCCUACCAAAAUAUAUAUUUUUCCACCAACCGCACUUAUUUCUCAACUUGCGCUGUAUUAUUUUCCCA